rnacentral:rRNA from 1 species
UACAGAGGGGGCAAGCGUUGUUCGGAAUUACUGGGCGUAAAGGGCGCGUAGGCGGCCUUCUAAGUCGAACGUGAAAUCCCCGGGCUCAACCCGGGAACUGCGUCCGAUACUGGAAGGCUUGAAUCCGGGAGAGGGAUGUGGAAUUCCAGGUGUAGCGGUGAAAUGCGUAGAUAUCAGGAGGAACACCGAUGGCGAAGGCAGAUCUCUGGGCCGUAACUGACGCUGAGGAGCGAAAGCAUGGGGAGCGAACAGG